UUGGUUAAGUUAGAAAGGGCGCACGGUGGAUGCCUUGGCACUAGGAGCCGAAGAAGGACGGGACUAACACCGAUAUGCUUUGGGGAGCUGUACGUAAGCGUUGAUCCAGAGAUUUCCGAAUGGGGGAACCCACUAUCUUUAGUCGGAUAGUAUCCUUACGUGAAUACAUAGCGUAAGGAAGGCAGACCCAGGGAACUGAAACAUCUAAGUACCUGGAGGAAGAGAAAGAAAAAUCGAUUUCCUGAGUAGCGGCGAGCGAAACGGAAAGAGCCCAAACCAAGAAGCUUGCUUCUUGGGGUUGUAGGACACUCUAUACGGAGUUACAAAAGAAAGUUAUAAAUGAAGCGGUCUGGAAAGGCCCGCCAAAGACGGUAACAGCCCGGUAGUUGAAAUGGCUUUCCCUCCAGAGUGGAUCCUGAGUACGGCGGAACACGUGAAAUUCCGUCGGAAUCCGGGAGGACCAUCUCCCAAGGCUAAAUACUCCCUAGUGACCGAUAGUGAACCAGUACCGUGAGGGAAAGGUGAAAAGCACCCCGGAAGGGGAGUGAAACAGUUCCUGAAACCGUGUGCCUACAAGUAGUUAGAGCCCGUUAAUGGGUGAUAGCGUGCCUUUUGUAGAAUGAACCGGCGAGUUACGAUUUGUUGCAAGGUUAAGCGGAAAAAGCGGAGCCGUAGCGAAAGCGAGUCUGAAUAGGGCGCAUAAGUAACAGGUCGUAGACCCGAAACCAGGUGAUCUACCCAUGUCCAGGAUGAAGGUAAGGUAAUACUUACUGGAGGUCCGAACCCACGCACGUUGAAAAGUGCGGGGAUGAGGUGUGGGUAGCGGAGAAAUUCCAAUCGAACUUGGAGAUAGCUGGUUCUCUCCGAAAUAGCUUUAGGGCUAGCCUCGAGGUAAAGAGUCAUGGAGGUAGAGCACUGUUUGGACUAGGGGCCCUUCUCGGGUUACCGAAUUCAGAUAAACUCCGAAUGCCAUGUACUUAUACUCGGGAGUCAGACUGCGAGUGAUAAGAUCCGUAGUCGAAAGGGAAACAGCCCAGACCACCAGUUAAGGUCCCCAAAUAUAUGUUAAGUGGAAAAGGAUGUGGGGUUGCUUAGACAACCAGGAUGUUGGCUUAGAAGCAGCCACCAUUGAAAGAGUGCGUAAUAGCUCACUGGUCGAGUGACCCCGCGCCGAAAAUGUACCGGGGCUAAACAUAUUACCGAAACUGUGGAUGAACCUCUUCGGAGGUUCGUGGUAGGAGAGCGUUCUAAGGGCGGUGAAGUCAGACCGGAAGGACUGGUGGAGCGCUUAGAAGUGAGAAUGCCGGUAUGAGUAGCGAAAGAAGGGUGAGAAUCCCUUCCACCGAAUAUCUAAGGUUUCCUGAGGAAGGCUCGUCCGCUCAGGGUUAGUCGGGACCUAAGCCGAGGCCGAUAGGCGUAGGCGAUGGACAACAGGUAGAGAUUCCUGUACCAGUGCUAAUUGUUUAACCGAUGGGGUGACACAGAAGGAUAGGGAAUCGCACGAAUGGAAAUGUGCGUCCAAGCAGUGAGUGUGA
rnacentral:rRNA from 1 species